UUGAACGCUGGCGGCAGGCCUAACACAUGCAAGUCGAACGGUAACAGGAAGCAGCUUGCUGCUUUGCUGACGAGUGGCGGACGGGUGAGUAAUGUCUGGGAAACUGCCCGAUGGAGGGGGAUAACUACUGGAAACGGUAGCUAAUACCGCAUAACGUCGCAAGACCAAAGAGGGGGACCUUAGGGCCUCUUGCCAUCGGAUGUGCCCAGAUGGGAUUAGCUAGUAGGUGGGGUAAAGGCUCACCUAGGCGACGAUCCCUAGCUGGUCUGAGAGGAUGACCAGCCACACUGGAACUGAGACACGGUCCAGACUCCUACGGGAGGCAGCAGUGGGGAAUAUUGCACAAUGGGCGCAAGCCUGAUGCAGCCAUGCCGCGUGUAUGAAGAAGGCCUUCGGGUUGUAAAGUACUUUCAGCGGGGAGGAAGGGAGUAAAGUUAAUACCUUUGCUCAUUGACGUUACCCGCAGAAGAAGCACCGGCUAACUCCGUGCCAGCAGCCGCGGUAAUACGGAGGGUGCAAGCGUUAAUCGGAAUUACUGGGCGUAAAGCGCACGCAGGCGGUUUGUUAAGUCAGAUGUGAAAUCCCCGGGCUCAACCUGGGAACUGCAUCUGAUACUGGCAAGCUUGAGUCUCGUAGAGGGGGGUAGAAUUCCAGGUGUAGCGGUGAAAUGCGUAGAGAUCUGGAGGAAUACCGGUGGCGAAGGCGGCCCCCUGGACGAAGACUGACGCUCAGGUGCGAAAGCGUGGGGAGCAAACAGGAUUAGAUACCCUGGUAGUCCACGCCGUAAACGAUGUCGACUUGGAGGUUGUGCCCUUGAGGCGUGGCUUCCGGAGCUAACGCGUUAAGUCGACCGCCUGGGGAGUACGGCCGCAAGGUUAAAACUCAAAUGAAUUGACGGGGGCCCGCACAAGCGGUGGAGCAUGUGGUUUAAUUCGAUGCAACGCGAAGAACCUUACCUGGUCUUGACAUCCACGGAAGUUUUCAGAGAUGAGAAUGUGCCUUCGGGAACCGUGAGACAGGUGCUGCAUGGCUGUCGUCAGCUCGUGUUGUGAAAUGUUGGGUUAAGUCCCGCAACGAGCGCAACCCUUAUCCUUUGUUGCCAGCGGUCCGGCCGGGAACUCAAAGGAGACUGCCAGUGAUAAACUGGAGGAAGGUGGGGAUGACGUCAAGUCAUCAUGGCCCUUACGACCAGGGCUACACACGUGCUACAAUGGCGCAUACAAAGAGAAGCGACCUCGCGAGAGCAAGCGGACCUCAUAAAGUGCGUCGUAGUCCGGAUUGGAGUCUGCAACUCGACUCCAUGAAGUCGGAAUCGCUAGUAAUCGUGGAUCAGAAUGCCACGGUGAAUACGUUCCCGGGCCUUGUACACACCGCCCGUCACACCAUGGGAGUGGGUUGCAAAAGAAGUAGGUAGCUUAACCUUCGGGAGGGCGCUACCACUUUGUGAUUCAUGACUGGGGUG
rnacentral:rRNA from 1 species